CUUAUCCAGAGCGACUUACAGUAGUGAAUGCAUACAUUUCAUGCAUUUUAUUUUAUUAUUAUUUUUAUUUUUUUGUACUGGCCCCCCGUGGGAAUCGAAACCACAACCCUGGCGUUGCACACACCAUGCUGGCAUUGCAAACACCAUGCUCUACCAACUGAGCCACAGGGAAGCCAGCUCACAUACUCCCAAAGGCCUCGUCUUCAACCCACCACAACCAACCAAGACUACCUCUGUAGGACUCAAUUAUGGACUUUUCCACACUCCUGCAUGCAACAGUUCAGUGACGACACGACAGUCAGGGAGUUAGCCAGAGCCUCCCUCUUACUUGACCUACGGAGGAGGAAGGUCCCACUGGCCACGGAUAUUGAGGACAACUUCCUGCGCUUCUGGAGGAAGGCCAAGGGAAAAUUGGACACUCGUGCUGUGUGCUUUGGAGUCUGGUCAGACUGGCUGGACCUCAACGACCUGUGCAACCGGACUGGAUUAGAGCUCAGAUGGACACGGACUCACUGUUAAGAUGAGGCUGCAAGUUCAAACAGCAAAAUAUAAUCUAGCACUCUGGUACCCUGGAAAUAAUGACCCAUUUUGUGUUCUACAUGAGUCAAAUGUAAUGGAGUCUGUUGCCCAUAUUGUGAAUGGUUGCUGUUCAUAAAAGGAUUUGUACAUUGUUAGACAUGACCGCAUUGUUGACCUGAUAGCCAGCGAGGUGACACAGGUACUCUCACUAACAGCACACACCAAUAAACAUUCUUGUGGAAGCUGGUUUGAUGUUGAUGACGAUGUGCUUUUCUGUGUGCCAAAUACACCAGAUGUUGUUGUGAGGGGAGGCCAGGGGGAGGUGCUCAUUUUGUAAAUGGGCUGCUCAUUUGAUGGCUACAUGGAGCAGGUAUUUGCCGACAAGCUUCUUAAAUACCAGCCCCUCAUGGCAUGCUUUGACAGCCUCGGGUGUAGGUGCAAGCUGGUGGCGCUGAUAUUUGGCAUGAACACCGGUAGGUAGCCUAGUGGUUAGAAUGUUGGGCCAGUAACCAAAAGGUUGCUGGAUUGAAUCCCCGAUCUGACAAGGUAAAAAUCAGUCGUUCUGCCCCUGAACAAGGCAGUUAACCUACUGAUCCCCGAUAGGCCGUAAUUGUAAAUAAGAAUUUGUUCUUAACUGACUUGCCUAGUUAAAUAAAGGUUCAAAAAUGUUUUAAGUGCGUGUCCUCUACAUUGAGGCCUGCCAAAAACUAGGGCAAAGCAGUUGGCUAGGUACUGCUCUGUUUCAGCUGUUGUGGGCAGACUAGCUGUUUGAAGAAGGGGGUGCUUUCUGUACCCUACAGUGCCAUGCAUACAGGGACCUUUUUUAAUGUCAAUUUGAUUGGUGGUUUCAAAUUCAAAUGGUGUGCAAUGUCCCUCUUCCAAGCCCUGUUGUGCACCUAUGAUUCACUGAUGCAAUCCGGACAGAUCAUCCAACUGUUUCAUGAAUGACAAACUGAUUGCGCCGUAUCAAACUUUACUUCACAUAUCACAGACUGACUUGGCAUCUCAUGGAGGAAACCACAUGGAGGAAAAUUGACAAUGUAGAGGCUCAAUGGCUCCCUCUACUGAAACCACAUCCUGAGAUCUCAUCUCAGCUGAUUUGUUUCUUGUACAUUUAUUUUUGUGAUUAUUCUUGACAUUUAAAUGAAUCCUGCAUGGAGAGCAAUUCACAAGAAAUAUAGGUUGCAAAGGAUUACAUUGUUUCAUCUCUGUGUUUGGUACCAUUCUAAAAAUCACUUGCAUCAGAUGAGCUUCCUGGAAACAUGGAGCAGACCAAUUACAUCCAGAAUUAUUCAGCAGACUACCAGACUGGUUGGUCCGUGAACCCAGAACUGGAACAAAAAUCAAUCGCUUCACUCCACAGUGUCACACAGACAAAUAGGUUGCUGGCCGCUCUAUAAUUAGGCCUACAAGAGAGGCUACACUCUCAAUGGGGACUCACUAAAAAUAAAAUAAAAUUGUAUUAGUCCCGUACACAUAUUUAGAAGAUGUUAUCAUAGAUGUAGAGAAAUGCUUAUGUUCCUAGAUAAAACAGUGCCGUAAUAUCGAACAAUACAAAACAAUAUAAAUAUAUAUGUAUAUGAUGUCGUGUAUAGACAUUAUGGCCAGUUUAUGAAUAGAAAAGGUGCGUACAGCAGUAGUUAUAUAGGAUGACUAGAAUACAGCAUAUACAUAUGAAGUGGGUAAAACAGUAUGUAAACAUUAUUAAAGUGACAAGUGUUCAAUGACUAUGUACAGUGCCUUCAGAAAGUAUUCACACCCAUGACCUUUUCCACAUUUUGUUGUGUUACAGCCUGUAUUUAUAGUACAUUCAUUAGAGAUGUUGUGUCACUGGCCUAUAAUGUCAAAUGUCUAAUCAUCCCCAGCUUACAAUUGGCUCAUUCAUCCCCCUCCUCUCCCUUUAAACUAUUCCCCAGGUUGUUGCUGUAAAUGAGAAUGUGUUCUCAGUCAACUUACCUGGUAAAAUAAAUAAAAAACUCUGUGUGAAAUAAUAGUUUAACAUGAUUACCUCAUCUCUGCACCUCACACAUACAAUUAUCUGUAAGGUCUCUCAGUCGAGCAGUGAAUUUAAAACACAGAUUCAACCACAAGACCGGAGAGGUUUUCCAAUGCCUUUCAAAGAAGAGCACCUAUUGGUAGAUAAAAAUAUAUAUAAUUUGAAAGCAGACAUUGAAUAUCCCUUUGAGCAUGGUGAAGUUAUUCAUUACAAUUUGGAUGGUGUAUUAAUACACCCAGUUACUACAAAGAUACAGGUGUCCUUCCUAACUCAGUUGCCAGAGAGGAAGGAAGCCACUCAAGGAUUUCACCAUGAGGCCAAUGGUGACUUUAAAACAGUUACAGAGUUUAAUGGCUGUGAUGAGAGAAAACUGAGGAUGGAUCAACAACAUUAGUAGGUACUCCACAAUACUAACCCAAAUGACAGAGUGAAAAGAAGGAAACCUGUACAGAAUAAAACAUAUUCCAAAACAUGCAUCCUGUUUGCAAUAAGGCACUGAAGUAAAAUUGCAAACAAUUUGGCAAAGAAAUUAACUUCAUGUCCUGAAUACAAAGCUUUAUGUUUGGGGCAAAUCAAACACAACAUAUCACUGAGUACCACUCUUCAUAUUUUCAAGCAUGGUGGUGGCUGUAUCAUGUUACGGGUUGGCUUGUCAACAGCAAGGACUAGGGAGUUUUUUUAGGAUAAAAAUAAAUGGAAAAGAGCUAAGGGCAGACAAAAUCCUAGUGGAAAGCCUGGUUCAGUCUGCUUUCCACCAGACACUGGGAGACAAAUGUACCUUUCAGCAGGACAAUAACCUAAAACACAAGGCCAAAUAUACACUGGAGUUGCUUACCAAGACGACAGUGAAUGUUCCCGAGUGGCCUAGUUACAGUUUUGGCUUAAAUCAGCUUUAAAAUCUAUGGCAAGACAGAUGUCUAGCAAUGUUAAAUUGCAAUGUCAUUUUCAAUACAUUUGCAAAAUUGUAUUAAAACAUGUUUUCACUUUGUCAUUAUGGGGUAUUGUGGGUAGAUGGGGAGAAAAAAUAUAUAAUUUAAUCCAUUUUGAAUUCACGCUGUAACAUAACAAAAUGUGGAAGCAGUGUACAUACUGUAGGGCAGCAGUCUCUAAGGUGCAGGCUUGAGUACCCGGGUGGUAGCCGGCUAGUAACAGUGACUAAAGUUCAGGGCAGGGUACUGGGCGGAGGCCGGAUAGUGGUGACUAUUUAACAGUCUGAUGGCCUGAAGAUAGAAGAUGUUUUUCAGUCUCUUGGUCACAGCUUUGAUGCACCUAUCUCUGCCUUUUAGAUG
rnacentral:lncRNA from 1 species